AGCAUCUCUAUUCUGCCAAACUAAGACUCCAGAAGUAAUCUUUCUUCUUUUCCUAACGAAUGAUUUAGUUAGACAUUCCAAUAAGAGAAAUCCGUUACAGUCUGCAAUCAUUCGUUGUACCGAAAUUACUUUACACUACAAAAUUAUUUCCCUGCAUCGA